UACGAAGGGUGCUAGCGUUGUUCGGAAUCACUGGGCGUAAAGCGCGCGUAGGCGGCUUUUCAAGUCAGAGGUGAAAUCCCCAGGCUCAACCUGGGAAUUGCCUUUGAAACUGGAAAGCUGGAGUAUUGGAGGAGAUAGCGGAAUUGCUAAUGUAGAGGUGAAAUUCGUAGAUAUUAGCAGGAACACCGGUGGCGAAGGCGGCUAUCUGGACAAUUACUGACGCUGAAGUGCGAAAGCGUGGGGAUCAAAC
rnacentral:rRNA from 1 species